GAUGAAGAACGCAGCGAAAUGCGAUAAGUAGUGUGAAUUGCAGAAUUCAGUGAAUCAUCGAAUCUUUGAACGCACAUUGCGGCCAUAGGUAUUCCUUUGGCCAUGCCUGUUCGAGCGUCAUUUACACCCUCAAGCCUAGCUUGGUGUUGGGCGUCUGUCCCGCCGUUCUCGCGCGCGGACUCGCCUCAAAGUCAUUGGCGGCGGUCGUGCCGGCCCCCUCGCGCAGCACAUUUGCGCUUCUCGGAGGCCCGGCGGAUCCGCGCUCCAGCAAGACCUUUCACGACUUGACCUCGGAUCAGGUAGGGAUACCCGCUGAACUUAAGCAUAUCAUAAGCGGAGGA
rnacentral:misc_RNA from 1 species